rnacentral:rRNA from 1 species
UACAGAGGUCUCAAGCGUUGUUCGGAUUCAUUGGGCGUAAAGGGUGCGUAGGCGGCGCGGUAAGUCGGGUGUGAAAUUUCGAGGCUUGACUUCGAAACUGCAUUCGAUACUGCCGUGCUAGAGGACUGGAGAGGAGACUGGAAUUUACGGUGUAGCGGUGAAAUGCGUAGAUAUCGUAAGGAAGACCAGUGGCGAAGGCGGGUCUCUGGACAGUUCCUGACGCUGAGGCACGAAGGCCAGGGGAGCAAACGGG